rnacentral:rRNA from 1 species
GACGGACGCUAGCGGCGUGCUUAACACAUGCAAGUCGAACGGAAAGGCCCCAGCUUGCUGGGGUACUCGAGUGGCGAACGGGUGAGUAACACGUGGGUGAUCUGCCCUGCACUCUGGGAUAAGCCUGGGAAACUGGGUCUAAUACCGGAUAGGACCGUGCUUUAGUGUGUGCGGUGGAAAGUUUUUCGGUGCAGGAUGAGCCCGCGGCCUAUCAGCUUGUUGGUGGGGUAAUGGCCUACCAAGGCGGCGACGGGUAGCCGGCCUGAGAGGGUGUACGGCCACAUUGGGACUGAGACACGGCCCAGACUCCUACGGGAGGCAGCAGUGGGGAAUAUUGCACAAUGGGCGCAAGCCUGAUGCAGCGACGCCGCGUGGGGGAUGACGGCCUUCGGGUUGUAAACCCCUUUCGGCAGGGACGAAGCUUUUGUGACGGUACCUGCAGAAGAAGCACCGGCUAACUACGUG